GAUGAAGAACGCAGCGAAAUGCGAUAAGUAAUGUGAAUUGCAGAAUUCAGUGAAUCAUCGAAUCCUUGAACGCACAUUGCGCCCGCCAGUAUUCUGGCGGGCAUGCCUGUUCGAGCGUCAUUACAACCCUCAGGCCCCCGGGCCUGGCGUUGGGGAUCGGCGGAGCCCCCCGUGGGCACACGCCGUCCCCCAAAUGCAGUGGCGGUCCCGCCGCAGCUUCCAUCGCGUAGUAGCUAACACCUCGCGACUGGAGAGCGGCGCGGCCACGCCGUAAAACACCCAACUCUUCUGAAGUUGACCUCGAAUCAGGUAGGAAUACCCGCUGAACUUAAGCAUAUCAAUAAGCGGAGGA
rnacentral:misc_RNA from 1 species